CGUCCUGUGAAAGCCCCCGGCUUAACCGGGGAAUUGCGCGACGAACUGUCUUUCUUGAGCCAAGUAGGGGUGCACGGAACUGUUGGUGGAGCGGUGGAAUGCGUAGAUAUCAACAGGAACGCCGGUGGAGAAAUCGGUGCACUGGGCUUGUGCUGACGCUGAGACACGAAAGCGUGGGGAGCGAACGGGAUUAGAUACCCCGGUAGUCCACGCCGUAAACGAUGUCUACUAGGUUGUGGAAGUUCUGACGCUGCCACGGCCGAAGCAAAAGUGCUAAGUAGACCGCCUGGGGAGUACGGCCGCAAGGCUAAAACUCAAAGGAAUUGACGGGGGCUCACACAAGCGGUGGAGCAUGUGGAUCAAUUCGAAGCAACGCGUAGAACCUUACCUGGGUUUGACAUGCUUGGAUGCCGUCCUGGAAACAGGGGAAGCUGCCCUUCGGGGUGAAACUUGCACAGGUGCUGCAUGGCUGUCGUCAGCUCGUGUCGUGAGAUGUCGGGUUAAGUCCUUUAACGAGCGAAACCCUUGCCGUUAGUUGCCAGCGGAUAAUGCCGGGGACUCUAACGGGACUGCCGGGUAAAACCGGAGGAAGGUGGGGACGACGUCAAGUAAUCAUGGCCUUUAUGCCCAGGGCUUCACACGUGCUACAAUGGCGGCAACAAAGCGUCGCAAAACCGUGAGGUCGAGCUAAUCGCAAAAAUGUCGCCCCAGUUCGGAUUGUAGGCUGACAACUCGCCUGCAUGAAGUCGGAAUCGCUAGUAAUCGCGUAUCAGC
rnacentral:rRNA from 1 species